UGAGUAACACGUGAGUGACCUGCCUUUUAGACUGGAACAACUUACCGAAAGGUGAGCUAAUGCCGGAUGAGUUAUAUAAGUGCAUGUUUAUAUAGGAAAAGUUGGGGAGACCUGACGCUGAAAGAUGGACUCGCGUCCCAUUAGCUAGUUGGUAGGGUAAUGGCCUACCAAGACGACGAUGGGUAGCCGGCCUGAGAGGGUGGCCGGCCACACUGGGACUGAGACACGGCCCAGACUCCUACGGAAGGCAGCAG
rnacentral:rRNA from 1 species